rnacentral:rRNA from 1 species
ACGGGAAAAGGCUGGGUUUUAUUUACAUGCAGUCGAGCGGACCGACGGGAGCUUGCUCCCUUAGGUCAGCGGCGGACGGGUGAGUAACACGUGGGUAACCUGCCUGUAAGACUGGGAUAACUCCGGGAAACCGGGGCUAAUACCGGAUGCUUGAUUGAACCGCAUGGUUCAAUCAUGAAAGGCGGCUUCGGCUGCCGUUUACAGAUGGACCCGCGGCGCAUUAGCUAGUUGGUGAGGUAACGGCUCACCAAGGCGACGAUGCGUAGCCGACCUGAGAGGGUGAUCGGCCACACUGGGACUGAGACACGGCCCAGACUCCUACGGGAGGCAGCAGUAGGGAAUCUUCCGCAAUGGACGAAAGUCUGACGGAGCAACGCCGCGUGAGUGAUGAAGGUUUUCGGAUCGUAAAGCUCUGUUGUUAGGGAAGAACAAGUACCGUUCGAAUAGGGCGGUACCUUGACGGUACCUAACCAGAAAGCCACGGCUAACUACGUGCCAGCAGCCGCGGUAAUACGUAGGUGGCAAGCGUUGUCCGGAAUUAUUGGGCGUAAAGCGCGCGCAGGCGGUUUCUUAAGUCUGAUGUGAAAGCCCCCGGCUCAACCGGGGAGGGUCAUUGGAAACUGGGGAACUUGAGUGCAGAAGAGGAGAGUGGAAUUCCACGUGUAGCGGUGAAAUGCGUAGAGAUGUGGAGGAACACCAGUGGCGAAAGGCGACUCUCUGGUCUGUAACUGACGCUGAGGCGCGAAAGCGUGGGGAGCGAACAGGAUUAGAUACCCUGGUAGUCCACGCCGUAAACGAUGAGUGCUAAGUGUUAGAGGGUUUCCGCCCUUUAGUGCUGCAGCAAACGCAUUAAGCACCUCCGGCCUGGGGGAGUACGGUCGCAGGACUGAAACUCAAAGGAAUUGACGGGGGCCCGCCACAAGCGGUGGGAGCAUGUGGUUUAAUUCGAAGCACGCGAAGAACCUUUACCAGUCUGAACAUCCUCUGACAUCCCUAGAAGAAUAGGCUCCCCUCGGGGCAGAAGUGACAGUGAUGCAAUGAUGUCGUCAGCUCUGUCGUGAAUGUUUGGAUAGUCCCGCCAACGAGCGCAUCCAUGAUCUUAGUUGCCAGCAUCAGUGGCACUUCUAAGGUACUGCGGUACACGAAGAAGGUGGGAAUAAAU